AAAUUGAAGAGUUUGAUCAUGGCUCAGAUUGAACGCUGGCGGCAGGCCUAACACAUGCAAGUCGAGCGGUAGCACAGAGAGCUUGCUCUCGGGUGACGAGCGGCGGACGGGUGAGUAAUGUCUGGGAAACUGCCUGAUGGAGGGGGAUAACUACUGGAAACGGUAGCUAAUACCGCAUAAUGUCGCAAGACCAAAGUGGGGGACCUUCGGGCCUCAUGCCAUCAGAUGUGCCCAGAUGGGAUUAGCUAGUAGGUGGGGUAACGGCUCACCUAGGCGACGAUCCCUAGCUGGUCUGAGAGGAUGACCAGCCACACUGGAACUGAGACACGGUCCAGACUCCUACGGGAGGCAGCAGUGGGGAAUAUUGCACAAUGGGCGCAAGCCUGAUGCAGCCAUGCCGCGUGUGUGAAGAAGGCCUUCGGGUUGUAAAGCACUUUCAGCGGGGAGGAAGGCGUUAAGGUUAAUAACCUUGGCGAUUGACGUUACCCGCAGAAGAAGCACCGGCUAACUCCGUGCCAGCAGCCGCGGUAAUACGGAGGGUGCAAGCGUUAAUCGGAAUUACUGGGCGUAAAGCGCACGCAGGCGGUCUGUCAAGUCGGAUGUGAAAUCCCCGGGCUCAACCUGGGAACUGCAUUCGAAACUGGCAGGCUAGAGUCUUGUAGAGGGGGGGUAGAAUUCCGGGUGUAGCGGUGAAAUGCGUAGAGAUCUGGAGGAAUACCGGUGGCGAAGGCGGCCCCCUGGACAAAGACUGACGCUCAGGUGCGAAAGCGUGGGGAGCAAACAGGAUUAGAUACCCUGGUAGUCCACGCCGUAAACGAUGUCGAUUUGGAGGUUGUGCCCUUGAGGCGUGGCUUCCGGAGCUAACGCGUUAAAUCGACCGCCUGGGGAGUACGGCCGCAAGGUUAAAACUCAAAUGAAUUGACGGGGGGCCCGCACAAGCGGUGGAGCAUGUGGUUUAAUUCGAUGCAACGCGAAGAACCUUACCUGGUCUUGACAUCCACAGAACUUUCCAGAGAUGGAUUGGUGCCUUCGGGAACUGUGAGACAGGUGCUGCAUGGCUGUCGUCAGCUCGUGUUGUGAAAUGUUGGGUUAAGUCCCGCAACGAGCGCAACCCUUAUCCUUUGUUGCCAGCGGUCCGGCCGGGAACUCAAAGGAGACUGCCAGUGAUAAACUGGAGGAAGGUGGGGAUGACGUCAAGUCAUCAUGGCCCUUACGACCAGGGCUACACACGUGCUACAAUGGCAUAUACAAAGAGAAGCGACCUCGCGAGAGCAAGCGGACCUCAUAAAGUAUGUCGUAGUCCGGAUUGGAGUCUGCAACUCGACUCCAUGAAGUCGGAAUCGCUAGUAAUCGUAGAUCAGAAUGCUACGGUGAAUACGUUCCCGGGCCUUGUACACACCGCCCGUCACACCAUGGGAGUGGGUUGCAAAAGAAGUAGGUAGCUUAACCUUCGGGAGGGCGCUUACCACUUUGUGAUUCAUGACUGGGGUGAAGUCGUAACAAGGUAACCGUAGGGGAACCUGCGGUUGGAUCACCUCCUUA
rnacentral:rRNA from 1 species